AGGAAAUCGAAAAUAACCCCCUCCCCCCCCUUCGGACAUCCUUGAAUGGUUCAUCCUCCCCCCCCUCUCCGGACAUCCAAGCCCAAAAUUACCCCCCUCCCCUUCGGACAUCCACUAUUUCUAAAUUUUUCUAAAGGCUACCUCGCCGUUUGAAAACGUCAAAUUAGACUACGUUCACACUACGCGCGAGCGAACUAAUGCGGGCAGAAUUUACGUGUGUUCAUACUACCGCCAUUACAGUUUGUUUACAAAUUGAAUUAGCACUCGUGUGAACCCAAAAUAUUUCAAAUAGACCCAAGAAAUUUAACUGAAAAGCAUUCGAGUUUACACAUUUGUGUUCACACGAAGCUAUCAAGCGCUCCGCCGUUUUCACCUCGCUCCGUUUAGAAACCGUGCUCAAAUUGUUACGGCAAAAGUGACGUGAAAGUUUUCAAACGAUUUCGCUCCAGCGUAGAGUGAAUUAGCGAUGGCUUAUUGUGACUUUCUACGCUGUUCUCAAAUAGCUCCGGCGUGGCGGAACACUUAACGGCUUCUUGUGACUUGCGAACACAAACACGUGGCAGGUUUUGUCGGAUAAUUUGCAGAAAUUCACUUCGAAAUUCGUUCAAGUAAAAUUCGGACUGAAAUUCGAUGUAACUUGCGACUGAUUGACAAGCGUUGC